rnacentral:rRNA from 1 species
AAUCCAUAGGUUAAUGAGGCGAACCGGGGGAACUGAAACAUCUAAGUACCCCGAGGAAAAGAAAUCAACCGAGAUUCCCCCAGUAGCGGCGAGCGAACGGGGAGGAGCCCAGAGCCUGAAUCAGCAUGUGUGUUAGUGGAAGCGUCUGGAAAGGCGCGCGAUACAGGGUGACAGCCCCGUACACAAAAGCGCAUGUGCUGUGAGCUCGAUGAGUAGGGCGGGACACGUGGUAUCCUGUCUGAAUAUGGGGGGACCAUCCUCCAAGGCUAAAUACUCCUGACUGACCGAUAGUGAACCAGUACCGUGAGGGAAAGGCGAAAAGAACCCCGGCGAGGGGAGUGAAAAAGAACCUGAAACCGUGUACGUACAAGCAGUGGGAGCACCCUUUGGGGUGUGACUGCGUACCUUUUGUAUAAUGGGUCAGCGACUUAUAUUCUGUAGCAAGGUUAACCGAAUAGGGGAGCCGGAGGGAAACCGAGUCUUAACCGGGCGUUAAGUUGCAGGGUAUAGACCCGAAACCCGGUGAUCUAGCCAUGGGCAGGUUGAAGGUUGGGUAACACUAACUGGAGGACCGAACCGACUAAUGUUGAAAAAUUAGCGGAUGACCUGUGGCUGGGGGUGAAAGGCCAAUCAAACCGGGAGAUAGCUGGUUCUCCCCGAAAGCUAUUUAGGUAGCGCCUCGUGAAUUCAUCUCCGGGGGUAGAGCACUGUUUCGGCUAGGGGGCCAUCCCGGCUUACCAACCCGAUGCAAACUGCGAAUACCGGAGAAUGUUAUCACGGGAGACACACGGCGGGUGCUAACGUCCGUCGUGAAGAGGGAAACAACCCAGACCGCCAGCUAAGGUCCCAAAGUCAUGGUUAAGUGGGAAACGAUGUGGGAAGGCCCAGACAGCCAGGAUGUUGGCUUAGAAGCAGCCAUCAUUUAAAGAAAGCGUAAUAGCUCACUGGUCGAGUCGGCCUGCGCGGAAGAUGUAACGGGGCUAAACCAUGCACCGAAGCU